UGUGAGAAGGUCCGGUGGGCAACUGGAAAUCCCCAUAUGCCGAACAUCAGAAUAUUCUUUUGGCAUGUGAGGCGAGCAUGAAGUCAUAUUUCCAUCGGAGUGGAGCAGUGCAGACUCCAGCCAGGUAGACUUCCCGAGCAGGCACACGGGGAUACCCUGCAUGGAAACUUUCAACAUUCCACACCGUUUCUUCAGGCAGAACCAACAAUUUCAAAAUGAACAGUGACAGAUCAAUUUUUAAUGUAACGAAAGGUCCUGUGGAUGGAAAACCCUCUGAAUUCGUUGUGGGGAUGAACGCAUGUUCCCCAAGAUGAUCUGACACCAUUUCUGAAGCCAAAUCCCAGGAUCCAUCAUUGACGGGCAGCAGCCUCUGGUGGUGGUAGCUCCCGCCAGGCCUGGACGGAAGAGAUCAGGCCAGCGUGCUGCCACCUUCCAGGCCUGAACCCUGAGGCUGCUGUGCUUCUUCCCUUCCUCAGAGGUCAGGCUGCCAGGUUCUGCUCUUUCCCCAGCGCUCUUCACACAUCCUGUCCCUGGAGACAUGUGAGAGGCCGUCUGGAAAAACAUCAAUGCUACGUAUACGGAGCCUGCUUACACAAGAUGCCAACAGAUGGCAACAUUUUAUCAUUAUUGCACCAUCCGGGGACCCUUCAUCUGUGGCCUCGGGGAGCAGCAGGCGUCGGCUCUCUGGUGUGACACAUGUCACCGCAGCUUCACCCCCCAUUAACCAUGCUGUUGUUUGUGAUUGUUAAGCUGCGUGUCUCGCCGUGUGUCACAUUCUUGACUUGUACAAGGGUCCAUUAGCAAGUAGCAUCUGAGGACCGUGAGUCAUAGGAGGCCCCAUGCUUGGAAAAAUAAACACUGCACAUUCGGCCGAGAUUAGAGCCACUGGC